AUGAUACUCCCUCCGUCCGAAAAUACUUGUCAUCAAAAUGGACAAAAAGGGAUGUAUCUAGAACUAAAAUACAUCUAGAUACAUUCCCUUUUAUUCAUUUUGAUGACAAGUAUUUCCGGACGGAGGGAGUACUAA
rnacentral:pre_miRNA from 1 species